rnacentral:misc_RNA from 1 species
AGGAGCUCAUGUAUUAUUGGUGCAGUGUACUAAAGAGUGAUAUUACAGGAGAAGAAUCAAGAAAUAAUGCCAAAAGUUUCUUCUUUCUUCCUCACUUUAAUAGGUCAACAUGUUAUGUGCAAUUGCAAAUAAUUUUACAACUCAUCUUGCCAAAUUUUCAAUUUCACUAUGAGAGCUUCAUCAAAGAUUCAAAUUAGAAACAUCAUUAUGUACAUCUCACAGAACUUCAGGGUUGCGGAUUUCUUUAUUAUAGUUGAAUACUUCAGUGAAAAUACAAACAUAUCUGAUAAAUAUGCACCCCUCCUGGAAUUCUUCAACAAGUGAAUUGGUUAAAUCUUCAUUUUCCUAUUACAGUUCUUGGCAGUCAAUGUACCAGUUGAAAAUUAAAACCCCCUACUAGAUUUGCCUGUCAAGUCAGUGGAUAAUCACUUGUAUAAUGAAUACGACACUAAGCAUUGAAAUAGAAAGACAAAAUGGGAUCACAGCAACACCUUAGACAAUAAAUUGUCUAUUUCAGAACACCUUACAGGCGAGAGGAAAACCACAAGGACAGAUAAGUAGGUGUUCAAGAUUCCUAUGUUGGUCUCCAGACGGAAAGGGUAUAAAUAAUUCGUCCCUUCCAUCCUUGCAAUAGCCACCGGCCAUCCUCAUCAAUUAGGAAAUCUUUGUGGUAAAGCGUCCUCACUUUAUCAGUUGCUCGCUUCACAAUCUCUCUAUCAAAAGACAACUGCACAAACCCAGCCCUCAAGGUACGGACCUGCCACUGCUUGUAAGUUUCUGGCCUUUCCACUCUCUCCCAGCCCUCGCAAGCCACAACAUUUAAGGCCUCUCUGCCAAUGAUCUCUUUCUCAAUCAGCAUCCUUUCCUGAUGCUCACGGGGCACAAUAGUGUCAAGCAUAUCAAACAAUGAAGAGAAGUGAAAAAGAGCCUCUCUAAACCGCGUAACAAAGAACGGGGCACUGUAGGCCCCAUUGGUAAUUGCAUGGAUGAAAAUAUCAGGAUUAAUCUUCCUUACUAAUUGAAGAACAAUGUCUUUUUGACUGUCCACUGCUACUGUUUCAUCAAGCAAGUUCCUAGCCCGAUAAAAACAGGUAACAACAAUGACUUCUUCCCUGUCAAUCUUGAGUUCCUCAAGUUUUAUGGUUUCCCAUUUUUUUGCUAUGGCACUGUACUCAAAUGGCACGUUGAACUUCUUAGCAUAAGUCGCUAAGCGACGCCCUGUUUCCUCAACUCGCUCUGCUGGCCGAAAACCAGGUUGGGGAAAAUCUAUUCCAGUAAUGCGAACAUUUGGAGGACCACCUGGUCUCCAGGAAAGCCGCUGAAUAAGGGUGGGCCACUGGAAACCAUAAAGGAUACCGAAAUCUAUGAUAUGAAGCCUCAUUGAAUUUGCUGAGAGAUUCAUUAUUGUCUUGUUAGAAGCAAAAUUAGAGAGCUUUAAGAAAGGGCAUGCAGCAAGAUAGAGAUGGUACGCUUUCAAGAUAUUGGUAGCAGAUGUUCUCUUGCUAACAAGGCCUUUGUAAAUCUGGCUGCCAGUACCUGCCAAGCGUGACUCAAGACCAUUAGCAAAGCAAUGAGCCAAUCUCUGAUUCCCAUCCCCAAAAGGAGAUGAAUGCUGCCUAACCUGCUUUAGCAAUUCAUUUGCCCUCCUACAAUCAUCAGCUGCCACAGCUUGAGCACAAUUAAUCAAAAGGGUUCUCAAAUCCACCACAUUCUUUUUCCCAUUGAGUUUCUUGCGUUGACCCUUUCUGCCACUGGAUCCCUUUGAUUGCACAUUCUGAUUCUGGUCAUUUUUUAUUGCUGCAUUCUUGAAUGCCUCACAAAGAUCCUUGAGAUCUUCCCAGCCUUCCCCAGCACUAUAAAGUAACAAUCUAUCAAACACGUGUGGUUCCAUGUCAGAUUCAGCAUAAACAGCUGGUUGCUUGCUACUCCUCUCUUCUUCUAUAUCUCCAUCUUGCCUGUGAAGGUUCUUCCUUCCUCUUGGCCCGCUAAGAGAGUACUCUUCUUCAUCCUUUCUCUCUUCCUUGAUUGUAACCUCACUAAUCCUUGCCUUUGACUCCCUAGAUAAGAACCUGUUGACCUCAAUAUUACGAAAAAAGACAUCACCAUUGGGAAGAAAUUUGCUAGCCUCUUCAACCCCCUUCAUAAACUGUGAAAUAGAUUGACUCUCAUUCUUCCAAUCAGAGAUUUGAAAACUACUGCUUGGAGAGUCCACCAGCCCAUCCAUGCUAGUGAUUACACUAUUGGAAGAGCUAUAUGAUGAUUGAGACAUACUAGAAACACGAAGAGUUUGUUGUUGAAAGGAAUCGUAAUAUCUCAAAUUCUGAAUACACGUGUUAUCAUCUAAAUAACUACCACCAUGGUUAUCAUCACUGCAGUUACUGGUGAAACUGUAAUAUGGGUUCUCACUAUUUUGACAGGUAGAAGCGUGGUUUGGCUCUGGUGAAGGAGGGUACUUCUUGCCUAGAACCUCAUAAAAUGAUUUCUCAGCGGCUUGAAGAUCUAAGGAAUCUUGAAGCAUACAAGUCUUAUCCUCCAUAUCUUCUUCCAUAAGCAUCUGGCUUACGUAUCUCAAAACUGCAUCAGAAAAGUCACAAUCUUCUGGGGAAUCCUCUUCAUGAACCGCAUUAGAAUUUGGGGUUACUUUACUUGACUUUGGAUCAGGUGGAAGGUAAGGGAACUCCAUAAAAUUAUGAUCUAUAAAAGUAUUAUCAAAUCUUUGUCCAGAAACACGGCUCUGAUUGGACAGAACAGAUAAAGGUCGAUUUCCCAGUUGGGUUCCAUUCAAUGAACUCGAAAAACCUCUUAAGCGGGGGUCCAUAACAAUCUACUUGUGAGAAAUCUAGAGCAAAUCUCAAAAAACACAUCCACAACUCCUCAAUGAAUCAAUUCCUUUUCAAAAACAGCUCAAUUUCAUAACAACUUGCAUUUCUUGUUUUCUAAAAACACAAAUCAAUUCAACCAUGACAGACAUUAAAAUAGAGAAAAGGAACCUCAAAAAUAAAUAAAUAAAUAAACAACCAUCAACCUUCAAUUCAAGCGUUUCAUUCAAUUAACAGAAAGAAGAAACAACAGAUUCGCUGGCUAAAUUCAACGUAUUUUGCAAAAACAAAAUUAAAAUAAUCAGAAAAGAAUAAAAGCAAAUUGCUAUCAAAUAAUGUUUCUAAGAAAAACCACUAAUGAAUAUAACAUGAAGGUCAACUACGUAUGAUUAGAGUUUCAAGAGAGCUAGAAACUGAUCCAAUCACAGUGAAGAAAAGAAAAGCAAAACGCGUACCUUCAUGAAACCCCAGCUUCCACACUGA